rnacentral:tRNA from 1 species
GAAAUUUAUAGUAAGAUGAAAAUCCGUUGACUUUUAAAUCGUGAGGGUU